AAACCAGCACCUCAAGUGGUCAGGAUGAUUAUUGGGCCUAAAGCAUCCGUAGCCGGCUUUGUAAGUUUUCGGUUAAAUCCAUACGCUCAACGUAUGGGCUGCCGGGAAUACUGCAAGGCUAGGGAGUGGGAGAGGUAGACGGUACUCGGGAGGAAGUGGUAAAAUGCUUUGAUCUCUCGAUGACCACCUGUGGCGAAGGCGGUCUACCAGAACACGUCCGACGGUGAGGGAUGAAAGCUGGGGGAGCAAACCGGAUUAGAAACCCCGGUAGUCC
rnacentral:rRNA from 1 species